rnacentral:lncRNA from 1 species
CUCUCUCCUCUCCCUCGUCAGUUCUCUCUCUCCUCUCUCUCUCCUUCCGCGCGACUUGGCCGUGCGACCCUUCGCCUUCUCGGCGACGGCCCGGCCACCACAGGCCGAGCUGAUCUCCGCCGUGGGUACCAUCGGGUCCGCCUCCCUCUCGCCGUCAAAACCUGACCGACCUCCACCCUUGGGCCGCUCGGAGUUGAUCGGAAAACCAUGUUUUCCGACGGAGAUUCGUCCGAAACCACCCGAACUUCCAGCUCGAUUUUCUCCUUCAAUUUUCCACCAAAUCGGUCGAGUAAGG